rnacentral:rRNA from 1 species
CCUACGGGUGGCAGCAGUGAGGAAUAUUGGUCAAUGGACGAGAGUCUGAACCAGCCAAGUAGCGUGAAGGAUGACUGCCCUAUGGGUUGUAAACUUCUUUUAUCUGGGAAUAAAAUGGUCCACGUGUGGGAUUUUGUAUGUACCAUAUGAAUAAGGAUCGGCUAACUCCGUGCCAGCAGCCGCGGUAAUACGGAGGAUCCGAGCGUUUUCCGGAUUUAUUGGGUUUAAAGGGAGCGUAGGUGGAUUGUUAAGUCAGUUGUGAAAGUUUGCGGCUCAACCGUAAAAUUGCAGUUGAAACUGGCAGUCUUGAGUACAGUAGAGGUGGGCGGAAUUCGUGGUGUAGCGGUGAAAUGCUUAGAUAUCACGAAGAACUCCGAUUGCGAAGGCAGUUCACUGGACUGCAACUGACACUGAGGCUCGAAAGUGUGGGUAUCAAACAGGAUUAGAUACCCUGGUAGUC